rnacentral:rRNA from 1 species
UACGUAGGCAGCGAGCGUUGUUCGGAGUUACUGGGCGUAAAGGGUGUGUAGGCGGUUGUUUAAGUUUGGUGUGAAAUCUCCCGGCUCAACUGGGAGGGUGCGCCGAAUACUGAGAGGCUAGAGUGCGGGAGAGGAAAGUGGAAUUCCUGGUGUAGCGGUGAAAUGCGUAGAUAUCAGGAGGAACACCGGUGGUGUAAACGGCUUUCUGGACCGUAACUGACGCUGAGGCACGAAAGCGUGGGUAGCAAACAGG